UACUAGAGUAGCACUCGCAUAUCAAUAAGCGGAGGAAAAGAAACUAACAAGGAUUCCCCUAGUAACGGCGAGUGAAGCGGGAAGAGCUCAAAUUUGAAAUCUCAAAGGGUUUCCCUUUACGAAUUGUAGUUUAAAGAAGUGUUUUCUGUUGAGGUUUUGGUAAAAGUUCUUUGGAAUAGGACAUCAUAGAGGGUGAGAAUCCCGUAUUUGACCUUUACUUUCAACUUUGUGAUACACUUUCAAAGAGUCGGAUUGUUUGGGAAUGCAGUCCAAAAUGGGUGGUAAAUUUCAUCUAAAGCUAAAUAUUGGCGAGAGACCGAUAGCGAACAAGUACCGUGAGGGAAAGAUGAAAAGAACUUUGAAAAGAGAGUUAAACAGUACGUGAAAUUGUCAAAAGGGAAGCGUUUGACACCAGUGUUGUUUUUCUGAAAAUCAAUUAAAGAACUGUUUAUGCUAAGCUGUUUAGACUUUAUCAGCUAUCUGUUUAGUUUUGAGCUUUUCUUUAAUGCACUUUUCAGUUAACAAGUCAACAUCAAUUUCUUUUGCUGUAAAAAAGCUUGAGGAAGGUGACUUGAGAUUCGUCUUAAGUGUUUAUAGCCUCUUGCCUAUGCAGUCGGAGAGAUUGGGGUCUGCAGCGUAGAUCCUUCGGGGCUAAAUGCAUUUGUGCUAAGUUAUAGCAUUUUAUAGACAACUUGUUGACUAUGAUUUGUCUUGUAGCUUACUCGCUUAUGUUAUUUUACCUACGCUUAGGAUGUUGAGUCAUCACACAUCUCU
rnacentral:rRNA from 1 species